GCACUGGUUUAGCUCAGUGGUUACUUCGAGCAUAAAUUCUAUCAGAAUCUUGUCUCCAUCCCUCCCCGGGAUUGAACCACGGGCACUGUCCAGUGUUUUU
rnacentral:vault_RNA from 1 species